AUUGAACGCUGGCGGCAGGCCUAACACAUGCAAGUCGAACGAGUGGCGGACGGGUGCGUAAUGUCUGGGAAACUGCCUGAUGGAGGGGGAUAACUACUGGAAACGGUAGCUAAUACCGCAUACCAUCAGAUGUGCCCAGAUGGGAUUAGCUAGUUGGUGGGGUAACGGCUCACCAAGGCGACGAUCCCUAGCUGGGCUGAGAGGAUGACAGGCCAAACUGGAACUGAGACACGGUCCAGACGCCUACGGGAGGCAGCAGUGGGGAAUAUUGCACAAUGGGCGCAAGCCUGAUGCAGCCAUGCCGCGUGUAUGAAGAAGGCCUUCGGGUUGUAAAGUACUUGCAGCGGGGAGGCGUUACCCGAAGAAGAAGCACCGGCUAACUCCGUGCCAGCCGCCGCGGUAAAUUC
rnacentral:rRNA from 1 species